rnacentral:rRNA from 1 species
UACGUAGGGUGCGAGCGUUGUCCGGAAUUAUUGGGCGUAAAGAGCUUGUGGGCGGUCUGUCGCGUCUGCUGUGAAAAUCCGGGGCUCAACCCCGGACUUGCAGUGGGUACGGGCAGACUAGAGUGUGGUAGGGGAGACUGGAAUUCCUGGUGUAGCGGUGAAAUGCGCAGAUAUCAGGAGGAACACCGAUGGCGAAGGCAGGUCUCUGGGCCACUACUGACGCUGAGACGCGAAAGCGUGGGGAGCGAACAGG